rnacentral:rRNA from 1 species
UACGAGGGGUGCGAGCGUUGCUCGGAAUCACUGGGCGUAAAGCGCACGUAGGCGGAUUGUUAAGUCAGGGGUGAAAUCCUGGAGCUCAACUCCAGAACUGCCUUUGAUACUGGCGAUCUCGAGUCCGGGAGAGGUGAGUGGAACUGCGAGUGUAGAGGUGAAAUUCGUAGAUAUUCGCAAGAACACCAGUGGCGAAGGCGGCUCACUGGCCCGGUACUGACGCUGAGGUGCGAAAGCGUGGGGAGCAAACAGG